GAAACGGCCAAGUAUACAACACGGUAACUUAUUUUUUAAAGAAAUUCAAUUGGAGUUUUGUUAAAACAAUAUUGUCAUAAUUGUAAUUAUUAGCAGUUGAUUUUUGUACUUUACAUCAGUUUUUGCAUUAAUAUUUAUUACUUGCUUUGCUUUUUUCUUCAUCAGACAGAUGAAUUUGUCUAAAUAGAUGAAGGUUUAGAAAAUUUGAUAAAUUUUGAAACGAAAUAUGCAAAAUACAGUGUUGAAACGUAACAUGUGUUAUUCAGUAUUUUACUAGUAAAGUUGAAUAUUUGUGACACUUUAUGAAAUUUACAUUUUUUUCUCGACAGAAAACACUGACAGAAAAUUAUAUAUGCACAGUGCUAAAUGUUCAAAAUCAGCGAAUCUUCGCGAAUCGACGUAAACAGAGAAUGCUAGAGAAAGUUUUGAAAGUUCGGUUUCAUUUCCCAGAAGCGCACGUGUUUUCGAACCCAAUCCCUUCUCAGCCAGCGCAUCGCCAUGUUGUGGAAACGCAACUACGAAACUCAAYGUGAAUUUUCGAGUUUAUUUUGAAUUUUAUCUGAAAGUUUACAUAGAUUAAGAAUACUUCUGUAUGUGAAAGUGGCCUUAGAGCUUCAAAAUGGCAACUUCAAUUCCAGCUCUUGGUAACCCUUUACAAGACAAAGACAAUUUUCCUCCAUUUUCCUACGUUCCAAGUGAAAAUGAGAUCGAUGAGAAUUUCUACUAUACAGAAGAUGGAUGUAGUUACAGGCAUAAACAYCACUGGUGCUUCAUUGGUGAAAUUACARAUGAUGAACACUCGCAACUCAAGUAUUUCCGAAACAGAAUCUUGGUGAAAGAUCUUAAAGGUGAAAGUGACAUUCCAAUUGCCUUUUACCCUGACCCACCUGAUAGUCGUGAAUUCUUCGAUUUUACUGAACUUAAAAAAGGCUAUACAGUGUGUAUACGUUAUGCUGAGAAACACUUUUUUUGUGAUAUGACAUGCGGAUUUCGUGUGGARUGCCUUCCUUAUGUAAAAGUCAUCAAGUGYUCUCUUGAUACUCUUCGUAUGAUCUCAGCUCAGGAUCCAACAAAUCGUCCUAAACUUUGCUGGACCUGUGGMGCAAACCAGAGCAAAUAUGGGCUCAAACUGUUGUCAUGCCAACGAUGUAAACUUGCAAAGUAUUGUGGGAGAGAUUGCCAGAAAAGCAAUUGGAAAUAUCAUAAAAAGUUAUGCGAGUACAUUCCUGACUACGCCAUUCUUGUGAGCCUGGCUGAUAGGGUGUUUACUAAAUACAUACCAUUUGAAGAUUAUUGACUUUUCUCAAUACAAAGCUGCUUUUGUAAGCAUGUAUUUGUGGUUCUAUGACCUAAAGGGUUUGAUAUUAACAGAAGUGUAGUUUUUUCAUGGAGCUGUAGACUAAAAAUUCACAGUUAAAGCAUUAAAAGGUGACAAAAGGAAAGCUUGGACUGAUUCAACUACCAUAGUAUUUAAUUCUACAGGCAGUCUAGCACUCAUCUUGCAUUCUGUUUACGCACUCAGCAAGAUGAUUGAGUAUUGACACACCAAAUGACAAAAACAAGUGCACAAACUACUGUGAUGGCCGAGUUUCACUUCAUGUUUCUAUUUUCAGUUUGGUUGGGCUGCCUGUGGUAUACUGGUUGUCAUAGAGCUUAUCUGUACUUUGUUGUUUUGCUAUGCUAUAGAUUGGAUGGUUUCACUAAUUUAGCGAAAUAUUCUACGUUGCUGUGCAAAAUGUAAUGUUUUUCUGAUAUUUCAGUCAUACGUUGUGACAUUUAAUGUUGGGGCGUUUAAUGGCAAGUUCACAGUAUUGUAUAUAUUAUAAACACAAAUAUCCAAAAACUCUUUUUUUACAUCUAUGAAAUCACAUCGACUGAAAAUUAUGUUUUUACUAACAUUGUGAAGUUUUUUCCUCAGAGUUAUUUUGACGGUAGUCAGUGGCGCUCGCGAGAAACAAKGUCACGUGAUUUGUCAGUGCAAGUAACGGAAAGUGAUGUUAUGUUUUCAAACCCAACCUGCAGCCAAUAACAAAUAAACUUUGUUUUCCGAUAAUAUUGACCUCAAACUAAGUAGRAGAAAUGUCAAAUAAAAGUAUUUCUUUUACUCUUUUCGAGUAUUAUUGGCAUCGUUUUGCCUUUAAAAUCAAGUCUCUGUUGGCACUUAUACUUUUAGUGUUCACUAAUUUCGUUUUUCAAUACCUAUUAUGUGAGUAUAGUCGUCGAUUGAUACACCGGUGUUUGUAUUAUUGCAACUGCCAUUGGCAUCAUGUAAUAGCUUUAUUAGGAACUUGAUCUGACCACGUUAGUGACCUUCCGAUCAGAAGCAAGUCUUUAUCUAGCAUUUGUCUCGUUGUUUAGCCAACUUUCUACGCCCAUCCAGUUGUUGAGGAGCUGCUAUUGCCACGAACAUCAUGAAAUCAUUGAUCAUAGCUGCCUUUUGUCUGACCAUAUUGGUACAAGAAUUGGCCGGAGCACCAGUGAAUACUGACUACAAAAACGACAAAAAACAACUUGUCCCUGGAACGGUAACAUCGUAUGGUCAAACAGAAGUCACACCGCCUUCAUUUCCCAGUAACUACAACGCUAAUGGAGGGGCAUCAUACGCUGACCCUUGUGUGAACACAGGAUAUAACACUGGAUCGUACAAUACUGGAUACGGCAAUACAGGGUAUAACAGCAUGGGGAUCCCAUGUAGCACUACUUACGGCGCGCAGGACGGAGAUGUAUUUAACAGACCGGUAGAGUUAGUUGCAGUAAAGGAYUUUCAUGUCAAAAAUGGCAAAGUUGUCCCACCUACAAACAUCGUUCAAGGAUAAAUUGACUAGUUAUUGGUAUGAAAACACACGUUUCAUUGGAUUUGAACGCUUGCGUGGAAAAAUCAUAAUAUUAUUAAAAACCUUAUCCGUUUCCUUAUAAGUGGAACGAAAAAUGACAUUCGUGGAUGGAAAAUAACUGAACARCGAACCAACAAUGAUAUGGACAACAGAAUGGUUUACUUGCCCAGAAGACAAUCGACUUUUUGGGUGUAUUUUUGUAGAUAUUUACAUUAUAAAGUAAGAUGUAAUAAUUGUAACCUGUACAUUACUUGUAUAAUCACAAGUUUAAUCGGUUAGUUUAGUUUUUAGCUAUAAAGUUGUCUAUUUUUGAUGAUAUUUCUUUCAACUUCWGUCUCGCAUAGUGUAACUUUGUAAUGCUUUUCGGGCGCUCAGCAAAAGAUUUGUAGGGAAAAUGUAUUCAGAUAUAUUUUUAUAUAAUUUUUCUACUAAAAAUCAGUCAUAUUACACGUUUUUGUGCUGUUUUAAAGCUUUCCAUCACAGAUACCACAAGAUGGUACAUCUGGAAACAUGGCGCCGAAAAGCAUGACRRGAAUUUUCUCUGGUCACUAUUACAAAAUGCGUUGAAGUUGUCGAAAGUGUGACUAAUAUAUUAUGAAAUGUAUAAAAAGGCCUUUGGUAAAUCUAUCUACACUAAAAUCAGUUGUUAGGAUUUGUACAUAAAUACAGGAAAAUAAAUCUAGAAAUUUA